UUUUGUUGUUUGUUUUUUUAAUUUUUAAUACGUAUGCUAUAUAUGUUUACUCUUUAAUUUACAGAAGACACACAACAAAAGAGGAUUUCAGUCGAAGUGUUUGCUGGUUCAUUAUGUGCUGUUGUGAUUGUUAUGGUUGUAGCGUUCACAAUGUUUUAUCAAUUAAGACACAAGUCAAUUUUUAAGAAUUUUCGGGACAAUUCCAAGCAUAGUAGUACUAACCUGUAUGAAAAUGGAACUGAAUUGGACCAUUCUAACUACCAGGAUCUGACUCCGGUCAGGAACGAUGAUGAUCAAUCAUAUGCUGUCACACUCAACACUAAUACAUAUUACAACAUGAACUUAUAGAAAUCCACACAAGUUGAAUUAAUGGAAUAUUUAAAAAGGACUAGGUACAAAGUCUGGUUCCUGUAUGGUUGACUAUAUAACAAUUACAUAUUCAGUAUUUUAUUUUUUAUCAUACACAAUGACUUUGUGUCUUUGAGAGAAACUAUAGAUCUUAUAUGUUUAACCUAUAUUCAUGGUGUGCCAACAAUGUUCGGGUUUAUAAUCAUAUGAACGAAAAAUUUACACAACAUAAGAUUAGUUGGUUUCCGUCAAGAGCUUAUACAUUGUACCACCACUCAUCGCCCUCUUAGACUGUCUAGAUUAUUACAAAUACACAUGUUAUCUUAUGUCGUGGCCGGGUGAGAUGACUGAACAAAAUGGUAAUUAAUGUAUUAAUAAUUGCGGUGAUUCGGAUCAAAUGCUCCUCAUCAGGUUAUCCAUACGACUCUACUGGUAUAUGAAUAAAUUAUGCUGCUUUCUGCUUUCAUUCAAGUUAUGUGUGCAUUGCUCUAUUGCUAAUUUGAAAUAUUCAUUACAUAAUGAUUAAAUAAACUUUGUGUUUUAAUUUGUAUUACUUAUAUUGAAAUCUGUUGUUUGUGAUUUUGAAGAUUUUGUUGUAAUAUUUAUCAUGUAUGUAAUUUAAAGUUCACUCUUCACUGAUUAAAGAAUUGGAAUAGGAAACUGAUUUUUUGGGAUAAAUCUGUAAAUGGUUCAAUAUGCGCAAUUGAUUUCCCAUAGGCGGUAAUGGUAACGUUUUCUUCUGUAGCUCAGUCCAUAUCGUAAACUUGGAUAUGUAUGAUGGCUCGUUUCGAAGCUGAGACAUUUUCACAUAUGUGGUUAAAUUUUCGGAGUACGAAGUGAGAUUCAUUUUUUUUUGUAAAUUAGCAUACCCCAAAAAUCCUUUUGUGAUGCGGCUCCUCGUGGUAAAAAUCCCUUUUUCACACAAUAAGUUCUUUGAAAAUUUAAUACUUUUAAUACUUUUAAUAACUCCAUAGUUUUUACACAUUUAUUCUAUGGUUAAGCUCAGUCACUUGUUAAAAAUAGAACCAUGUCCAAUAUCACUACACAGAUUUUUUUUGUUUACGCACAACUUUUGAGUUCCUCAAUUUGAGGCGCAUUAGGGUUAUUGACCCAAAUAAACCAGGCUUUUUUCUAAUUUAGGCAUGCGUAGUGAGCCUUCCUUGAUUAAAAUAUAGAGGAAAACUAAAGAUUUGAAAAACGUACAUCAUUCCCUCCUACUUUAAGAAAAACAACAAACAAAAGCAGUAAAAAACACACAAAAUUAAAAAAAAUAAACAAACAAACGACCCGAUUAUUAGUAUUCUUUAAAUAAUCAUAUUCCUUCGCGUAUUUUUCCCUGAAGAACUAUAGUGAGUUAUGUAAUGCUAGACUUUCGUCCCAAGUCAGGAGCCAAAUUCAGUGGUUAUCGUUUGUUAUCAUAUUUGUUUUUCGUUUAUUGUUUUAUAUAUAAA